rnacentral:misc_RNA from 1 species
GAUGAAGAACGUAGUGAAAUGCGAUAAGUAAUGUGAAUUGCAGAAUUCAGUGAAUCAUCGAGUCUUUGAACGCACAUUGCGCCCCCUGGUAUUCCGGGGGGCAUGCCUGUCCGAGCGUCAUUGCUGCCCUCAAGCACGGCUUGUGUGUUGGGCCUCCGCCCCCCGGCUCCCGGGGGGCGGGCCCGAAAGGCAGCGGCGGCACCGCGUCCGGUCCUCGAGCGUAUGGGGCUUCGUCACCCGCUCCGUAGGCCCGGCCGGCGCCCGCCGGCGACCCCCCUCAAUCUUUCCAGGUUGACCUCGGAUCAGGUAGGGAUACCCGCUGAACUUAAGCAUAUCAAUAAGCGGAGGA